AGAGUUUGAUCCUGGCUCAGGAUGAACGCUAGCGGGAGGCCUAACACAUGCAAGCCGAGCGGUAUUGUUUCUUCGGAAACGAGAGAGCGGCGCACGGGUGCGGAACACGUGUGCAACCUGCCUUUAUCUGGGGGAUAGCCUUUCGAAAGGAAGAUUAAUACCCCAUAAUAUUUUGAAUGGCAUCAUUUAAAAUUGAAAACUCCGGUGGAUAGAGAUGGGCACGCGCAAGAUUAGAUAGUUGGUAGGGUAACGGCCUACCAAGUCAGUGAUCUUUAGGGGGCCUGAGAGGGUGAUCCCCCACACUGGUACUGAGACACGGACCAGACUCCUACGGGAGGCAGCAGUGAGGAAUAUUGGACAAUGGGUGAGAGCCUGAUCCAGCCAUCCCGCGUGAAGGACGACGGCCCUAUGGGUUGUAAACUUCUUUUGUACAGGGAUAAACCUAUUUACGUGUAAAUAGCUGAAGGUACUGUACGAAUAAGCACCGGCUAACUCCGUGCCAGCAGCCGCGGUAAUACGGAGGGUGCAUGCGUUAUCCGGAUUUAUUGGGUUUAAAGGGUCCGUAGGCGGAUCCGUAAGUCAGUGGUGAAAUCUCAUAGCUUAACUAUGAAACUGCCAUUGAUACUGCGGGUCUUGAGUAAGGUAGAAGUAGCUGGAAUAAGUAGUGUAGCGGUGAAAUGCAUAGAUAUUACUUAGAACACCAAUUGCGAAGGCAGGUUACUAUGUCUUAACUGACGCUGAUGGACGAAAGCGUGGGGAGCGAACAGGAUUAGAUACCCUGGUAGUCCACGCCGUAAACGAUGCUAACUCGUUUUUGGGCUUUCGGGUUCAGAGACUAAGCGAAAGUGAUAAGUUAGCCACCUGGGGAGUACGAACGCAAGUUUGAAACUCAAAGGAAUUGACGG
rnacentral:rRNA from 1 species